UUUAAUUGCUGUGGAUAACCAUCGAUCAUUGCUGGGCUGCCCCUGGGACGGUGGACUUUGAGAGAGGAGAAAACAAGCCCAGGCAGAGCAUCCUGCCCCUGGUCAUUGAUGGUAGAGGUGGUUCAGAGGAACACAUGCUGGUCCAAGCCCCAGGUACAUAGUUGUAUAUUCUUCGUUGUGGAUCCUUCUAGUUGUGACAUGUGGGACGCCUCCUCAGUGUGGCCUGACGAGCAGUGCCAUGUCUGCGCUCAGGAUCCGAACCAACGAAACACUGGGCCACCUGCAGCGGAGCGUGUGAACCUAACCACUCGGCCACGGGGCCAGCGCUGAGACAGGUGAUACCACCUUUUUAUCAACUCCCAAAGGGAAAAGAAAUCCCUCUAUUUCCCAAUCAUUUACUACUCAGAA
rnacentral:lncRNA from 1 species